AACGAACGCUGGCGGCAUGCCUAACACAUGCAAGUCGAACGAGACCUUCGGGGCUAGUGGCGCACGGGUGCGUAACGCGUGGGAACCUGCCCUUAGGUUCGGAAUAACUCCCCGAAGGGGGUGCUAAUACCGGUUAAUGUCUUCGGACCAAAGAUUUAUCGCCUUUGGAUGGGCCCGCGUUUGAUUAGCUAGUUGGUAGGGUAAAAGCCUACCAAGGCUACGAUCCAUAGCUGGUCUGAGAGGAUGAUCAGCCACACUGGGACUGAGACACGGCCCAGACUCCGACGGGAGGCAGCAGUGGGGAAUAUUGGACGAUGGGCGAAAGCGUGAUCCAGCAAUGCCGCGUGAGUGGUGAAGGCCUUAGGGUUGUAAAGCUCUUUUACCCGGGAUGAUAAUGACAGUACCGGGAGAAUAAGCACCGGCUAACUCCGUG
rnacentral:rRNA from 1 species